AUCGAACGCUGGCGGCAUGCCUAACACAUGCAAGUCGAGCGGAUGAAGCGAGCUUGCUCCUGGAUUCAGCGGCGGACGGGUGAGUAAUGCCUAUGAAUCUGCCUGGUAGUGCGGGAUAACGUCCUGAUACGGGCUCUAAUACUGCAUCCGUCCUGAUCGAGCAAGUGGGGGAUCUUCGGACCUCUCGCUCUCAUAUGAGCCUAGGUUGGAUUAGCUGGUUGGUGGGGUAAAGGCUUACCAAGGCGGCGAUCCGUAACUGGUCUGAGAGGAUGGUCAGUCACACGGGAAGUGAGACAGGGUACAGACUCCUGCGGGAGGCAGCAGUGGAGAAUAGUGGACAAGGGAGGAAAGGAUGAUACAGCCAGGCGGCGUGUGUGAAGAAGGAGUUCGGAUUGGAAAGCAAUGUAAGUUGGGGGGAAGGGAAGUAAGUUAAUACGGUGCGGUAUUGACGGUACCGGGAGAAUAAGCACCGGCUAACUUCGUG
rnacentral:rRNA from 1 species